rnacentral:rRNA from 1 species
ACGAACGCUGGCGGCGUGCUUAACACAUGCAAGUCGCACGGAAAGGCCCUGCUUUUGUGGGGUGCUCGAGUGGCGAACGGGUGAGUAACACGUGAGUAACCUGCCCUUGACUUUGGGAUAACGUCAGGAAACUGGGGCUAAUACCGGAUAGGAGCUCCUGCUGCAGGGUGGGGGUUGGAAAGUUUCGGCGGUUGGGGAUGGACUCGCGGCUUAUCAGCUUGUUGGUGGGGUAGUGGCUUACCAAGGCUUUGACGGGUAGCCGGCCUGAGAGGGUGACCGGCCACAUUGGGACUGAGAUACGGCCCAGACUCCUACGGGAGGCAGCAGUGGGGAAUAUUGCACAAUGGGCGGAAGCCUGAUGCAGCAACGCCGCGUGCGGGAUGACGGCCUUCGGGUUGUAAACCGCUUUCGCCUGUGACGAAGCGUGAGUGACGGUAAUGGGUAAAGAAGCACCGGCUAACUACGUG